rnacentral:rRNA from 1 species
GACGAACGCUGGCGGCGUGCUUAACACAUGCAAGUCGAACGGAAAGGCCCUGCUUUUGUGGGGUGCUCGAGUGGCGAACGGGUGAGUAACACGUGAGUAACCUGCCCUUGACUUUGGGAUAACUUCAGGAAACUGGGGCUAAUACCGGAUAGGAGCUCCUGCUGCAUGGUGGGGGUUGGAAAGUUUCGGCGGUUGGGGAUGGACUCGCGGCUUAUCAGCUUGUUGGUGGGGUAGUGGCUUACCAAGGCUUUGACGGGUAGCCGGCCUGAGAGGGUGACCGGCCACAUUGAGACUGAGAUACGGCCCAGACUCCUACGGGAGGCAGCAGUGGGGAAUAUUGCACUAUGGGCGGAAGCCUGAUGCAGCAACGCCGCGUGCGGGAUGACGGCCUUCGGGUUGUAAACCGCUUUCGCCUGUGACGAAGCGUGAGUGACGGUAAUGGGUAAAGAAGCACCGGCUAACUACGUG